UUUACUAACUUUAAACACCAAAAUACUUCAUCACAUCCUAAUAAGUAUUAUUCUCCCAAAAUAAUAUCAUCACAAUGAAGUAAGCCAAAUGGAAUUAGGUACCAUAUAUUAGAUUCUGAAGGGACAUAACAAUUAUUUUGGUUACCUAAUCCAACAAAAUAUGAUUGAAAUAUCGAAAAAGGAUAUGAUGCUUCCAUACGAUGGCUUGAUCACAAGACUAAUCCACGCUUAUGACAUAGCUAUCCCACCUAACGAAGAAGUUAUGAAACUAGAUAGAUUUAAUGUCAUAAAUAAAAACCUACUUUGACCGUUGAGGUGUACUUUC
rnacentral:lncRNA from 1 species